rnacentral:rRNA from 1 species
AUUGAACGCUGGCGGCAGGCCUAACACAUGCAAGUAGAGCGGAGCGGCGGACGGGUGAGUAAUGCCUAGGAAUCUACCUGGUAGUGGGGGAUAAAGUCAGGGAACGGGCGCUAAUACCGCAUACUAGCAGAUGAGCAUAGGUCGGAGUAGCUGGUUAGUGGGGUAAAGGCCUACCAGGGCGACGAUCCGUAACUGGUCUGAGAGGAUGAUCAGUCACACUGGAACUGAGACACGGUCCAGACGCCUACGGGAGGCAGCAGUGGGGAAUAGUGGACAAUGGGCGAAAGCGUGAUCCAGCCAUGCCGCGUGUGUGAAGAAGGUCUUCGGAUUGUAAAGCACUUUAAGUUGGGAGGCGUUACCAACAGAAUAAGCACCGGCUAACUUCGUGCCAGCAGCCGCGGUAAUUC